rnacentral:rRNA from 1 species
AUUGAACGCUGGCGGAAUGCUUUACACAUGCAAGUCGAACGGCAGCACGGGAGCUUGCUCCUGGUGGCGAGUGGCGAACGGGUGAGUAACAUAUCGGAACGUACCCAGUCGUGGGGGAUCACUAUCCGAAAGGAUAGCAAAUACCGCAUACGUCCUGAGGGAGAAAGCGGGGGAUCGCAAGACCUCGCGCGCUUGGAGCGGCCGAUAUCGGAUUAGCUAGUUGGUGGGGUAAAGGCUCACCAAGGCGACGAUCCGUAGCGGGUCUGAGAGGACGACCCGCCACACUGGAACUGAGACACGGUCCAGACUCCUACGGGAGGCAGCAGUGGGGAAUUUUGGACAAUGGGGGCAACCCUGAUCCAGCCAUUCCGCGUGAGUGAAGAAGGCCUUCGGGUUGUAAAGCUCUUUCAGCAGGAACGAAACGGUCGGCUUUAAUAAAGUCGGCUAAUGACGGUACCUGCAGAAGAAGCACCGGCUAACUACGUG